GACGAACGCUGGCGGCGUGCCUAAUACAUGCAAGUAGAACGCAGUUGCGAACGGGUGAGUAACGCGUGGGUAACUGCCGCAGAGCGGGGGAUAACUAUGGGAAACGAUAGCUAAUACCGCAUACUGUGAGAUGGACCUGCGUUGUAUUUGCUAGUUGGUGAGGUAAAGGGUCACCAAGGCGACGAUACAUAGCCGACCUGAGAGGGAGAGCGGCCAAACUGGGAACUAGACAACGCCCAGAACUCUACGGGAGGCAGGAGGAGGGGAACUUCGGAAAAGGGCCGAAGUCUGACCGAGCAACGGCGCGUGCGUUAAUGAGGGUUUCGGGGCGUUAAACUCUGUUGUGAGAGAAGCGUUAACUAACGAGAAAGCGACGGCUAACUCCGUGCCAGCAGCCGCGGUAAUUC
rnacentral:rRNA from 1 species